GAUGAACGCUGGCGGCGUGCCUAAUACAUGCAAGUCGAGCGAACAGACGAGGAGCUUGCUCCUCUGACGUUAUCGGCGGACGGGUGAGUAACACGUGGAUAACCUACCUAUAAGACUGGGGUAACUUCGGGAAACCGGAGCUAAGACCGGAUAAUAUAUUGAACCUCAUGGUUCAAUAGUGAAAGACGGUUUUGCUGUCACUUAUAGAUGGAUAAGCGCAGCAUUAGCUAGUUGGUAAGGUAACGGCUUACCAAGGCAACGAUGCGUAGACGACCUGAGAGGGUGAUUCGACACACUGGAACUGAGACACGGUCCAGACACCUACGGUAGGCAGCAGUAGGGAAUCUUCCGCGAUGGACGAAAGCGUGACGUAGCAACGCCGCGUGAGUGAUGAAGGUGUUCGGAUGGUAAAACUCUGUUAUUAGGAAAGUACAAAUGUGUAAGUACCUAUGCUCGUCUUGACGGUACCUAAUCAGAAAGCUACGGCUAACUCCGUG
rnacentral:rRNA from 1 species